GACGAAGGUGGCGAGCGUUGUUCGGAAUCACUGGGCAUAAAGCGCACGUAGGUGGCGGCGUAAGUCGGGUGUGAAAUCCCUCGGCCUAACCGAGGAACUGCGCCCGAUACUGCGUUGCUUGAGGGUCAAAGGGGUGCAUGGAAUUCCCGGUGGAGCGGUGAAAUGCGUUGAUAUCGGGAGGAACACCAGUGGCGAAGGCGACUACCUGGCCUGUUCUUGACGCUGAGGCGCGAAAGCUAGGGGAGCAAACGGG
rnacentral:rRNA from 1 species